GGCUCAGGAUGAACGCUGGCGGCGUGCCUAAUACAUGCAAGUCGAACGAGUUCUCGUUGAUGAUCGGUGCUUGCACCGAGAUUCAACAUGGAACGAGUGGCGGACGGGUGAGUAACACGUGGGUAACCUGCCCUUAAGUGGGGGAUAACAUUUGGAAACAGAUGCUAAUACCGCAUAGAUCCAAGAACCGCAUGGUUCUUGGCUGAAAGAUGGCGUAAGCUAUCGCUUUUGGAUGGACCCGCGGCGUAUUAGCUAGUUGGUGAGGUAAUGGCUCACCAAGGCGAUGAUACGUAGCCGAACUGAGAGGUUGAUCGGCCACAUUGGGACUGAGACACGGCCCAAACUCCUACGGGAGGCAGCAGUAGGGAAUCUUCCACAAUGGACGCAAGUCUGAUGGAGCAACGCCGCGUGAGUGAAGAAGGCUUUCGGGUCGUAAAACUCUGUUGUUGGAGAAGAAUGGUCGGCAGAGUAACUGUUGUCGGCGUGACGGUAUCCAACCAGAAAGCCACGGCUAACUACGUGCCAGCAGCCGCGGUAAUACGUAGGUGGCAAGCGUUAUCCGGAUUUAUUGGGCGUAAAGCGAGCGCAGGCGGUUUUUUAAGUCUGAUGUGAAAGCCCUCGGCUUAACCGAGGAAGCGCAUCGGAAACUGGGAAACUUGAGUGCAGAAGAGGACAGUGGAACUCCAUGUGUAGCGGUGAAAUGCGUAGAUAUAUGGAAGAACACCAGUGGCGAAGGCGGCUGUCUGGUCUGUAACUGACGCUGAGGCUCGAAAGCAUGGGUAGCGAACAGGAUUAGAUACCCUGGUAGUCCAUGCCGUAAACGAUGAAUGCUAGGUGUUGGAGGGUUUCCGCCCUUCAGUGCCGCAGCUAACGCAUUAAGCAUUCCGCCUGGGGAGUACGACCGCAAGGUUGAAACUCAAAGGAAUUGACGGGGGCCCGCACAAGCGGUGGAGCAUGUGGUUUAAUUCGAAGCAACGCGAAGAACCUUACCAGGUCUUGACAUCUUUUGAUCACCUGAGAGAUCAGGUUUCCCCUUCGGGGGCAAAAUGACAGGUGGUGCAUGGUUGUCGUCAGCUCGUGUCGUGAGAUGUUGGGUUAAGUCCCGCAACGAGCGCAACCCUUAUGACUAGUUGCCAGCAUUUAGUUGGGCACUCUAGUAAGACUGCCGGUGACAAACCGGAGGAAGGUGGGGAUGACGUCAAAUCAUCAUGCCCCUUAUGACCUGGGCUACACACGUGCUACAAUGGAUGGUACAACGAGUUGCGAGACCGCGAGGUCAAGCUAAUCUCUUAAAGCCAUUCUCAGUUCGGACUGUAGGCUGCAACUCGCCUACACGAAGUCGGAAUCGCUAGUAAUCGCGGAUCAGCACGCCGCGGUGAAUACGUUCCCGGGCCUUGUACACACCGCCCGUCACACCAUGAGAGUUUGUAACACCCGAAGCCGGUGGCGUAACCCUUUUAGGGAGCGAGCCGUCUAAGGU
rnacentral:rRNA from 2 species